GACGGCUCUGAUUGAUAGCUUGCCAUUUACAAAAUAACUCCAAAGGAUCUAGCUACUCAAAGACACAAGAAAUAUAAGGCCUGCAAUAGCUGUAUAGCUGUGCUCCAAGUUGUUUAAUAAUUUAAUAGAAAUUGCUCUGACGAUACUGUAACAUUUUCUCUCAUAAAAAUCUCAGUGGGAAAAUCAGUGUAUUCCGUGUGAAAUACAUAAAAAAAUUUAAAGG